rnacentral:rRNA from 1 species
GAGUGAGCGGCAAGAGCUCAGAUUUGAAAUCGUGCUUUGCGGCACGAGUUGUAGAUUGCAGGUUGGAGUCUGUGUGGAAGGCGGUGUCCAAGUCCCUUGGAACAGGGCGCCCAGGAGGGUGAGAGCCCCGUGGGAUGCCGGCGGAAGCAGUGAGGCCCUUCUGACGAGUCGAGUUGUUUGGGAAUGCAGCUCCAAGCGGGUGGUAAAUUCCAUCUAAGGCUAAAUACUGGCGAGAGACCGAUAGCGAACAAGUACUGUGAAGGAAAGAUGAAAAGCACUUUGAAAAGAGAGUGAAACAGCACGUGAAAUUGUUGAAAGGGAAGGGUAUUGCGCCCGACAUGGGGAUUGCGCACCGCUGCCUCUCGUGGGCGGCGCUCUGGGCUUUCCCUGGGCCAGCAUCGGUUCUUGCUGCAGGAGAAGGGGUUCUGGAACGUGGCUCUUCGGAGUGUUAUAGCCAGGGCCAGAUGCUGCGUGCGGGGACCGAGGACUGCGGCCGUGUAGGUCACGGAUGCUGGCAGAACGGCGCAACACCGCCCGUCUUG